UUGCACAGGUGCUGCAUGGUUGUCGUCAGCUCGUGCCGUGAGGUGUCGGGUUAAGUCCCAUAACGAGCGCAACCCUUACUGUUAGUUGCCAGCGGGUCAAGCCGGGAACUCUAACGGGACUGCCACCGUAAGGUGAGAGGAAGGUGGGGAUGACGUCAAAUCAGCACGGCCCUUAUGUCCAGGGCUACACACGUGUUACAAUGGUCGGUACAAAGGGCAGCUACACCGCGAGGUGAUGCUAAUCUCUAAAGCCGGUCUCAGUUCGGAUCGAAGUCUGCAACCCGACUUCGUGAAGUUGGAUUCGCUAGUAAUCGCGCAUCAGCCAUGGCGCGGUGAAUACGUUCCCGGGCCUU
rnacentral:rRNA from 1 species